rnacentral:rRNA from 1 species
UGGAGGCAGCAGUGAGGAAUUUUCGGCAAUGGGCGCAAGCCUGACCGAGCAACGCCGCGUGAGGGAUGAAGGUUUUCGGAUCGUAAACCUCUGUCUUCAGGGACGAUAAUGACGGUACCUGAGGAGGAAGCCACGGCUAACUACGUGCCAGCAGCCGCGGUAAUACGUAGGUGGCAAGCGUUGUCCGGAAUUACUGGGCGUAAAGGGCGUGUAGGCGGCCAUUUAAGUCAGACGUGAAAACCCUGGGCUUAACCCAGGACCUGCGUUUGAAACUAGGUGGCUUGAGGACCGGAGAGGGCAGUGGAAUUCCCAGUGUAGCGGUGAAAUGCGUAGAUAUUGGGAGGAACACCAGUGGCGAAGGCGACUGCCUGGACGGCACCUGACGCUGAGGCGCGAAAGCUAGGGGAGCAAACGGGAUUAGAUACCCGUGUAGUCCG